rnacentral:rRNA from 1 species
GUGCCAGCAGCCGCGGUAAUACCGGCAGCCCAAGUGAUGGCCGCUGUUAUUGGGCCUAAAGCGUCCGUAGCUGGCCGCACAAGUCCGUCGGGAAAUCCGCCCGCUCAACGGGCGGCCGUCCGGCGGAACCUGUGUGGCUUGGGACCGGGAGGCCUGAGGGGUACGUCCGGGGUAGGAGUGAAAUCCUGUAAUCCUGGACGGACCGCCGAUGGCGAAAGCACUUCGCGAGAACGGAUCCGACAGUGAGGGACGAAAGCCAGGGUCUCGAACCGGAUUAGAAACCCGGGUAGUCC